rnacentral:lncRNA from 1 species
AGAUGAGAGGGAAAGCUUUACAGUGGAAAAAUGAGGAGGCUUCAGUAUUUGUUGUUUGCAAUGGAAGGAGUCCUGUCCUUCAAUAUAGAGACAGAGUUUGAGCAUAAUUUGAAAAUGAGUCUGCAGAUGGAAGCCUGGAUGGUGUUUGUUGAUCAUUCCGGGACGUGUACAUCAAGGGCUAUGAAUUCCAUGGAGAGGACCAGAAGCAGAUACACAGAUGACUGAAGUUUCAGAAAACAGAAUCUGGGCGAAAAGAAUAAAGGAGCAAGACAACAUCCGCUGAGGAAUAACAUUAAGAAGUGGCAUCUUUCAUCAGAAGCACUCAAAGCAUUCAUGAAGACUUACUCAUUGAGCUGUGAGCCACACCUAUGUUGUAUCUGUGGCUCCCUUAAAGAUUAAGAUACCAAAUUCCAAAAAGUUUGACCCUGUGGCUGAAAGGGAGGCUGGGGAAUGAACAGAUACAGACACAGGUUCCAAAUCUCACUCAAAAUUAACCUGGCAUAGAAUGGGAUGUCGAGAAAUGACAGUGAGCGACAUUGUUAUUGCUGACAUCAAUUGGCCAUUAUUUUUGACUAUGAGGAUUCUACACAGUGAAGAGGCAGAGUUUCUGCCAUAGGAGCUUCUGAUCAGUUUGGGAGCUUUGUCUCGUGCAAAACCAAGAAGUAUGUGAACCUACCCUAUGUUAGGUGCCAAAUACAAAAAUACAGAUAGCAAGUUCAGAGGAGGAGCCAUCACCCAGGCUGUGGCGGGCGUGGAAACUUCAUGGAAAAAGACCUCGAGUUGGGCUUUGGAGAAAGACAGGAUUCGUGCAGGCAGGAGGUGUGGGAAGGUGAUUUUCAGUCUGAAAGACAGGAGGGAGGUUGGGGAAUGCGUGGAGUAAUUGAGGGUACUAGAGGCACCCAACUGUGGUGGACCAGCUGUGUGUAAGAUCCCCCACAGGGAUCCAUGGAGUGUCAACCUCACUGGUUUUUAGAAUCUGUGACCAAGGGAAUAAGUUCCUUUUUCUCUGAAUUCUGUGACAUUUAAUUUGCUUCAGUCAGAGGUAAACAUCUGACCCUGCCUGGCAAUCCCUUCCUAGGUUGUUAUGAUGAACAGUCAGCGGUUCAACUUUAUCACCCAAUUUCUUACUGAUCAGAAUUCCAGUUAGAGACGUAGUUCCCUCACUGUUUCCUCUUUCUGAACAGUGAAAUUGUUCUUGCCUACAAGAAGUAGCCUGAAGCAAAGUACAGUUUUGUGAAAAUCAAAAGAAGAAAGGAUAUUAAAAAGGAGAGAAUAGUCAACAGUUUUCAUGGACGUGGAGAAAUCAGGGAGAAUCAGGUUAGAUGUGUCUAAUUUUCUAUGGUCAGUAAAGUAGAACCACAUGUUAGCUUCUUGGAUUAAGGGAGAGCAGAUGCUAUGAGUCAGUCAUUGCCAGCUCUCCUUCACAAGCUCGAAUACACUCUCCUAUGAUUCCUGUUUAUGUGAUUAAGACAUUUAACUGUCAUCUAUAUAUAUGUUAAAAAUUAAACUCAGCUGUGAUUUUCCCUCCCCGAGAUGCAUAUAACUGAUGUAUAUGUUCUGUAGGAUUUUAUGUUAAAGAGUUACUGCCACCUCUUAUUAAAAUUGAGUGCCUUAUUUUGACAUUAGGCAGAGGAGUUUGACGGAUGUUAACGUUCUGAGAGAAAUAUGUGGGAAACGAUUUUGAGGGUGAAAUACUGAUGCAACUGAUACUAAUUGCUAACAUCCCAGUAACGCUCUUAAGAAUCUAUUUUGUGGCUGGGCGUGGUGGCUCACGCCUGUAAUCCCAGCACUUUGGGAGGCCAAGGCGGGCGAAUCACGAGGUCAGGAGAUUGAGACCAUCCUGGCUAACAACGUGAAACCCCGUCUCUACUGAAAAUACAAAAAAUUAGCUGGGCAUGGCGGCGGGUGCUUGUAGUCCCAGCUACUCGGGAAGCUGAGGCAGGAGAAUGGUGUGAACCCGGGAGGCGGAGCUUGCAGUGAGCUGAGAUCGUGCCACUGCACUCCAGCCUAGGUAAUAGAGCGAGACUCCGUC